UAUAUGUAUCGCAGCAUCCACGUUUAGGGGCAAUUUUAAAAACCCUCGUAAAGAAAUCUAAAGAGAAUCGUGAAGUAAAAAGUGCGAGAAGCCGAUUACAGAAAGAGACUUGUCGAUUAUACUUUGUACAGCGUGUACGUUUAAAUCGAGAUAGAUAAAGAAA